rnacentral:rRNA from 1 species
AGAGUUUGAUCCUGGCUCAGAUUGAACGCUGGCGGCGUGCUUAACACAUGCAAGUCGAACGCGAAAGGGACUUCGGUCCUGAGUAAAGUGGCGCACGGGUGAGUAACACGUGGAUAAUCUGCCCCUAUGAUCGGGAUAACAGUCGGAAACGGCUGCUAAUACCGGAUACGCUCAAAAUGAACUUUUUGAGGAAAGGUGACCUCUGCUUGCAUGUUACCGUAUAGGGAUGAGUCCGCGUCCCAUUAGCUUGUUGGUGGGGUAAAGGCCUACCAAGGCAACGAUGGGUAGCCUAUUUGAGAGGAUGAUCGGCCACACUGGGACUGAAACACGGCCCAGACUCCUACGGGAGGCAGCAGUGGGGAAUAUUGCGCAAUGGGCGAAAGCCUGACGCAGCGACGCCGCGUGAGGGGAUGAAGGUUUUCGGAUCGUAAACCUCUGUCAGAAGGGAAGAAACCGCACUGUGCUAAUCANCAGUGCCUUGACGGUACCUUCAAAGGAAGCACCGGCUAACUCCGUGCCAGCAGCCGCGGGAAAUACCGAGGGUGGCAAGGCCUUAAUGCGAAAUUACUGGGGCCUAAAGCCGCACGGGGGCUGCUUUUGAAGGCCAGGGCGGAAAUCGCCCGGGCCAG